rnacentral:rRNA from 1 species
AUUGAACGCUGGCGGCAGGCCUAACACAUGCACGUCGAACGAGUGGCGGACGGGUGAGUCAUGUCUGGGAAACUGCCCGCUGGAGGGGGAUAACUACUGGAAACGGUAGCUAAUACCGCAUACCAUCGGAUGUGCCCAGAUGGGAUUAGCUCGUAGGUGGGGUAACGUCUCACCUAGGCGACGAUCGCUCGCUGGUCUGAGAGGAUGAACAGCCACAAUGGAAAUGAGAAACGGGCCAGACGCAUACGGGAGGCAGCAUUGGGGAAGAUUGCAAAAGGGGCGAAAGCCUGAUGCAGCCAUGCCGCGUGUAUGAAGAAGGCCUUCGGGGUGUAAAGUACUUUCAGCGGGUAGGCGUUACCCGCAGAAGAAGCACCGGCGAACACCGUGCCAGCAGCCGCGGUAAUAC